rnacentral:rRNA from 1 species
UACGUAGGUGGCAAGCGUUGUCCGGAUUUACUGGGCGUAAAGAGCGCGCAGGCGGUCGUGCAAGUCGCGUGUGAAAGCCCCCGGCUCAACUGGGGAGGGUCACGCGAUACUGCUCGACUUGAAGGCAGGAGAGGGAAGUGGAAUUCCCGGUGUAGUGGUGAAAUGCGUAGAUAUCGGGAGGAACACCAGUGGCGAAGGCGGCUUUCUGGCCUGUUCUUGACGCUGAGGCGCGAAAGCUAGGGGAGCGAACGGG